rfam:Gossypium raimondii Chr02_contig_1430, whole genome shotgun sequence.
UGUUAAAAUUUUCAUCUAUUUGCACUGUUAAAAAUUGACAUGAUUGCUGAGAUAACCAGACAAUGACACGUGGCAUGUAAAUUAUGCUGAUGUACAUGCAUCAAUUUUUAGUAGUAAAUUUGGAUGAAAUUUUUAAAA